rnacentral:rRNA from 1 species
UACGAAGGGGGCUAGCGUUGCUCGGAAUCACUGGGCGUAAAGCGCACGUAGGCGGCUUCUCAAGUCAGGGGUGAAAUCCUGGAGCUCAACUCAAGAACUGCCUUUGAUACUGAGGGGCUCGAGUCCGGGAGAGGUGAGUGGAACUGCGAGUGUAGAGGUGAAAUUCGUAGAUAUUCGCAAGAACACCAGUGGCGAAGGCGGCUCACUGGCCCGGUACUGACGCUGAGGUGCGAAAGCGUGGGGAGCAAACAGG